UAACAACAACCGCAACAAACAUAGGCAGAAGCAAAAAUAAACAACAACAAUAAUUCCGCUCUCUCUCCCUCUCACUCUAUCUACAUAUCUCACGCUCUCUUGCGAUCUCUAAUUAUGUCUAUGUAUUGGCCUUGCGGUGUGGCAGCGACGGGAGUUCCGUUUAGUCGGUCACGCCACCACACAAGCGACAACAACAGCAACGGCAACUGCUGUGGGUCAUGCGCACUACAAAUGACGUCAGAUGUAGCCAUCAAAUUUGAAAGUGCGCAAAAAAAA